GUAGCUGGUCUGAGAGGAUGAUCAGCCACACUGGGACUGAGACACGGCCCAGACUCCUACGGGAGGCAGCAGUGGGGAAUAUUGGACAAUGGGGGCAACCCUGAUCCAGCAAUGCCGCGUGUGUGAAGAAGGCCUAUGGGUUGUAAAGCACUUUCAGUGGGGAGGAGGGWUGUUAGGUUAAGAGCUAAGCAUUUGGACGUUACCCACAGAAGAAGCACCGGCUAACUCCGUGCCAGCAGCCGCGGUAAUACGGRGGGUGCAAGCGUUAAUCGGAAUUACUGGGCGUAAAGGGUGCGUAGGUGGUUUAUUAAGUUAUUUGUGAAAUCCCUGGGCUUAACCUGGGCAGGUCAGAUAAGACUGGUWGACUCGAGUAUGG
rnacentral:rRNA from 1 species